UAAUAAAAAAAUACCGAAUACGAUUCCUAUAUUCGGUCUAGGGAAAUGGCUCCUGGGAGAGCCAUGCGCUAAAAGUUGGCGUUUAGUGCAUAAUUUAUCCAGUCAUACUGCACUAAGCGUAGCCUAGCACACUAUUUUUGCCAGCUA
rfam:Serratia symbiotica genome assembly, type strain CWBI-2.3T, contig: SYMBAF_Contig_5